AUGGCUACACAACCACUCAAAGUCCUGGUGUGGAACGUGUGUAGUCUGAAUUCACCGGCACGACGGAAUGCAAUACGAUAAGUUGUGUUAGCAGCUAGCCCAACUGUGGUGUGUCUACAAGAGACCAAACUUGAACUUGUAAUGGUGGACAUAAUUAGGCAUUGUCUCGGUUAUAGAGUUGAGCACUUUUACUACUCGCCAGCUGAUGGCACACAUGGAGGCAUGGUCAUCGCUUGGUAUGAACUCUUAGUUUCGCUUCAUAACUCACACACCAUGCAGAAUACGUUGACGGUACUAGUCAAGCCGAUCGAGGCACCAGAAUGGUGGCUUACAUGUGUAUACAACCCACAGCUGGACCAUGAGAAGGUGCAAUUCCUCGAGGAAUUAGUAGAGAUAAGGGACCUUCAUGCAGGGCCCUGGGCGGUCAUUGGAGAUUUAUUCUCCUGGUAA
rnacentral:rRNA from 1 species